CCUGUGAAGAAGGUGCCUUGCUUCCCCUUUGCCUUCCACCACAAUGCUAAGUUUCUUGAGGCCUCCCGAGACAUGCUGAACUGUGAGUCAGUCAACUAAGCCUCUUUCCUUUAUAAAUUACCCAGUUUCAGGCAAUUCUUUAUAGCAAUGUGAAAAUGGACUAAUAUACAACUGAAGUCAUUUGGUAAAAUAAGCUUCAAGAUUCCUCUUUUCAUCUCUCACUGAAGGAACCACCUCCUGCUUUCGGCACUCAGAAUG
rnacentral:lncRNA from 1 species